UACGUAGGGGGCAAGCGUUGUCCGGAUUUAUUGGGCGUAAAGAGCGUGUAGGCGGCCUGGUAGGUCAGCUGUGAAAACUCGAGGCUCAACCUCGAGACGCCGGUUGAAACCAUCAGGCUAGAGUCCGGAAGAGGAGAGUGGAAUUCCCGGUGUAGCGGUGAAAUGCGCAGAUAUCGGGAAGAACACCCGUGGCUAAGGCGGCUCUCUAGUACGGUACUGACGCUGAGACGCCAAAGCGUGGGGAGCGAACAGG
rnacentral:rRNA from 1 species